GUAUCGAUAUUAAUUUCAUAUAUGGAUGU
rnacentral:sRNA from 1 species